rnacentral:rRNA from 1 species
CAGCAGUGGGGAAUAUUGCACAAUGGGCGCAAGCCUGAUGCAGCCAUGCCGCGUGUGUGAAGAAGGCCUUCGGGUUGUAAAGCACUUUUCAGCAGUGAGGAAGGCGGAGUCGUUAAUAGCGGCCUCGUUUGACGUUAGCUGCAGAAGAAGCACCGGCUAACUCCGUGCCAGCAGCCGCGGUAAUACGGAGGGUGCGAGCGUUAAUCGGAAUUACUGGGCGUUAAAGCGCAUGCAGGUGGUUUGUUAAGUCAGAUGUGAAAGCCCGGGGCUCAACCUCGGAAUUAGCAUUUGAAACUGGCAGACUAGAGUACUGUAGAGGGGGUAGAAUUUCAGGUGUAGCGGUGAAAUGCGUAGAGAUCUGAAGGAAUACCGGUGGCGAAGGCGGCCCCCUGGACAGAUACUGACGCUCAGAUGCGAAAGCGUGGGGAGCAAACAGGAUUAGAUACCCUGGUAG